AGAGUUUGAUCAUGGCUCAGAACGAACGCUGGCGGCGUGCUUAACACAUGCAAGUCGAACGAGAAAUCUUUUUUUCGGAAAAGAGAGUAAAGUGGCGCACGGGUGAGUAACGCGUAGAUAAUCUACCCCUAGGUCGGGGAUAACACUGCGAAAGCGGUGCUAAUACCGGAUAAGCUUCAAUAGGCGCGAGCCUAUUAUGGAGGAAAGAUGGCCUCUGAUAUAAGCAAUCGCCUGGGGAUGAGUCUGCGUAUCAUUAGCUAGUAGGUGGGGUAAGGGCCUGCCUAGGCAACGAUGGUUAGCGGGUCUGAGAGGAUGAUCCGCCACACUGGAACUGGAACACGGACCANACUCCUACGGGAGGCAGCAGUGAGGAAUUUUGCGCAAUGGGGGAAACCCUGACGCAGCGACGCCGCGUGAAUGAAGAAGGCCUUCGGGUUGUAAAGUUCUGUCAGAUGGGAAUAAAUUCAUUUUCGUUAAUAGCGGAGGUGUUUGAAGGUACCAUCAAAGGAAGCACCGGCUAACUCCGUGCCAGCAGCCGCGGUAAUACGGAGGGUGCAAGCGUUGUUCGGAAUCACUGGGCGUAAAGGGCACGCAGGCGGUUGAUCAAGUCAUAUGUGAAAUCCCAGGGCUCAAUCCUGGACUGGCAUUUGAAACUGGUCGGCUUGAGUAUGGGAGAGGAAAGUGGAAUUCCCGGUGUAGAGGUGAAAUUCGUAGAUAUCGGGAGGAAUACCUGAGGCGAAGCGACUUUCUGGACCAAUACUGACGCUGAGGUGCGAAAGCGUAGUAGCGAACAGAUUAGAUACNCUGCGCUGGGGAGUACGGCCGCAAGGUUAAAACUCAAAGGAAUUGACGGGGGCCCGCACAAGCGGUGGAGUAUGUGGUUUAAUUCGAUGCAACGCGAAAAACCUUACCUGGUCUUGACAUCCCGGGAAUCUCCUGGAAACAGGAGAGUGCUUCUAUUAAGAAGAACCCGGAGACAGGUGCUGCAUGGCUGUCGUCAGCUCGUGUCGUGAGAUGUUGGGUUAAGUCCCGUAACGAGCGCAACCCACGCCUUUAGUUGCCAUCAUUCAGUUGGGCACUCUAGAGGGACAGCCCCGGUUAACGGGGAGGAAGGUGUGGAUGACGUCAAGUCCUCAUGGCCCUUAUGACCAGGGCUACACACGUACCACAAUGGACGGUGCAAAGGGCAGCUAGAUCGCGAGAUGGAGCUAAUCUCAUAAAACCGUUCUCAGUCCGGAUCGGAGUCUGCAAUUCGACUCCGUGAAGCUGGAAUCGCUAGUAAUCGUGGAUCAGCAAGCCACGGUGAAUACGUUCCCGGGCCUUGUACACACCGCCCGUCACACCACGAAAGUCGGCUGUACCAGAAGACGUUGAGCUAACCCGGCACUCAGUUUUGUUUUUUAACAGUUCAUUAAAGGACAUCCCGGCACUCAGUUUUGCCUUUCAACACUUCAGUAAAGGACAUCACCAGUAGAUGUUCCUGAAAAUGAGAGGUGGAAGGCAGAACUGAAUGCCGGGUUCCAGAAAGUGAGAGGUGGAAAACAGACCUGAGUGCCGGGGGGCAGGCGUCCAAGGUAUGGCUGGUAAUUGGGGUGAAGUCGUAACAAAGGUA
rnacentral:rRNA from 1 species